rnacentral:lncRNA from 1 species
UUGCUCACCUUGUGUUAGGCGAUAUUAUACAUAAUUUUAUCUGAUUAAUCCACAACUUUAGUAUUCAUUAGGAAUCAUAAAAUUAUAUUAUGUGUUCAAGUACUUAUUAUCGGAUGAUCAUUAUUGCUCACUAAAUCAUGUUCCACAAAUAAUCAUACGGAUGAUAAAAAUAACUAUAAUAGAUAAAAGUAUCCUUCAACUGCAUCAGUGAAUAGCUCAAGUUCAUCCAAGGUCUCAUAGACAUCAUAAACAUCAGCGAAUAUCACCCCCACGGUCCAGAAGAAAUUCUCCAUUAAUCUAUCUCUUGCAAAAUUCAACUUCUCCACAAGUCUUGUUUUCUUCCACCACCUGACACAUAAUCAAUUAGCAUGAAAUUAAAUAAGUUACAUAUAUCAUGCUCAGUUAGACUUGAUCAUUUUUGAGUGCGGAUGUCCAUAUGUUUACAAAUCAUAUAAAGAGGCUAUACAUGAGCUCUGUUACGACACAAAAUUUGUUUACAAGGUUGUAGAACGGUGAGUCCGCACUUUAUGAGAAGGACUCUAAUAAGAUUAUAUAUCUAGAUUCUUACCUUGGACACAUAUUUGAGAUCCUCUUGGCGUGCAGCUUGCACAAUAUUAAAGUCAAGUUUAGCAAGCUCGAGCAAGAAAGAUUUCGUCUUGGGUCCGAUCUUGCAUACAUCAGUGAACCACCUUGUCUCCAAUCUUUGCAUCCUCCAAUGUAGUGGAAGUUCCAGGGCAUGAGUCACUAAUGUACAGAAAUAUCCAUCAUUAUUUUCAUUAUUAUUAUGGUUGACUACGUAUUCUUUGAGGUAUGUAGUGGUGGAAUUUAUAGCACCACGAAAGAUAUUGCUUUCUCCUUCUACCAAGAGAUACGCAGCUUCAGACAGAGCUAAAAUUCCUUUGCAAUCGUCACCGAGGCAUGAUAACUUAAAGCUCCUCUUCUCAUCCUUGAAACAGGAAAACGUUUCUACAAUUACUUGCGCACACAUGCAUGCGUCUCAUAUUAUUAAUUAGAUAAUCUAGAACAAAGAAUCGGAAUGAAUUCUUUUAAGAUCCACGAGGACAGAAGGAAAAGUUGUGGACAAAUGCUAAAGUGACCGAGCAUAGUCAAAAACAGUGAUAAAUCAGUGCCAGCCACUUACAUUGUUUUUCAAUUGAGUAAACCAACAUUGGCUUAUCACUGUUUCUGUCAAAUUUUUCUGUAUAGAUAUUAUUAGACAAAAGUUGCAUGCAUCCAUGCGUACCCUUCGCAGGUAUAUCAUAACCAUGAUGCCUUAGGAGUCUGAAUUUGAGUGCUACAGCAUAUAAACUUUCUUGUUUUUGUUUAUAAUUGCUGUGAUUAUUAGUAUUCUUAUUGUAUAUCCUAACCAGAGUUCUUUUGUUUUCAUCCUCAAGUGAUAAGAUAAUCCAAGUCUUUGCAGAGUAUCAAUGAGCUCAAGUAGGUGUAGAGGAUCAAAAUCCACCACCACUUUAUGAUCAUCCUGCUGUAGCAUCGCCCUCGCUUCUUUCCUCAGCUUUUCCUCUCUUUUGACAUAAGAUUCUCCCUGCGUGAUAUAAUUAAAUCAAAUCAUUUGUUAUUUUAUUAGAUACGUGGGUAUAUUUAAACGAACUAAUUGCAAACAGAUUAAGUAAAUUAAAUAAUUAUGUACCUUAUAUUUACUCUCAAGUGACAGAUUAUAAUCAGAACCCCAAAUAGAUGGCUAGUAAUUGGCAGAUCGCCUAAUAAUCGUUUGAUCAGCAGCAACCUUAGUAGUGGUGGAUGCAGCCAUGCGGUACUGGACUCGGUAACAAUUCAGGAGGAACAAAGACAUUACUGUUGCUUGGUAAUGAUAUUGAUAAUCUUGUGAAAUAGCAUGUCGCCGGCAGUGAAGAAAGCAGAUAAGGGCCAUAAUUAAGAAUUUUUCAAGGAGUGUAUACAUGAGAUCUAUAUUAAUUGCUCAAAUUAUUAGGAAAAUGAAACUAUUACAUGGGAUUCUUCAAGUCCUCAAUUAUGUCAUGGCUAUUUAUACACAAUCUUGGGCUCUCUUAAUAUUUCUUUUACAUUUAGCCUCAAGCGAAAAUGCAAUUGAUAUGGCUUUUUGAUCAGCUCAUAAAUGAAUCUGUCGUUUUCCUUCAAGAAAACUCCUGUUAAAACUCCGUUUGCAACACUAAAGUAGUGCUACAAUGCUUACUCAACAUAGCAUUAUUGUUUUUUCAAAUAGUGAUAAAAUGCUUACUUAAUAUAUAUAUAUAUAAUUAUUAUUUUUUAAAUAAAUGGGUUGGUGGUAUCAUUAGGCUAAGUGGAAAAGAUAAUAUUAACAAAAAGCAAUAUUUUUAGUAUUUCAUGUUAAAUAAGAAUUUGAUAAUAAUUUUUUUCCGCUGAUUUAUUUUCCAAAUUCCUCAUUGUACAACAAUUAUUUAUGCAAACCAAUCCAAAAAAAGAAAGUCUGUGAUGUAGAUUUCUAAGUCCACAAAAAGCAAAAUGUUGAGCAAUGCGUUUGUGAUCAAUUCAUGAAUAAAUCUAUGAUUUUCCUCUUUUUGCUUGAAGAAAACUCCUAUUAAAACUCUGUUUGCAACCCAAGGUUUCCUAAGUGUAAUACAAUGCUUGCUUAAUAUAGCAUUGUUGUUUUUUCAAAUAAAUGGGUUGGUGGUAUCAUCAUGCUGAGUGGAAAAGAUAAUAACAAAAAAUAAUGAUUUUAGUAUUUCGCAUUAAAAUAGAAUUUGAUAAUAAAUUUUUCGCUGCUUUAUUUUUCCAAAUUCCUCAUUACAACAAUUAUUUAUGGAACGAAAAAAAAAAGUUUUCUGAUGUAGAUUCCCAAGUGCAUAAAAAGCAAAAUAUUGAGCAAUGCGUGGCAACGUGGCUAGCACGCAACUUCUGAAUUUUGGCACCAAAGCUAUUAAAUUUGAAGAAUUUGAAAGUCAUUGAACCAUUUUUAAGGACUUUUUGCCAUUGCAUGCAUGGUAAGCUUUGGCUAGAAAAGUAAUUUGCCAUUUGAGACCAUCCCAAAAUGUGGAGUGCGAGAGCUUAUGUGAUAAGUUCUCUAAGAAAGUGCAAAGAGAGUUGUAGGACGUGCAAAUGACCGCUUAAAAAUGCUUGUGAAAGGGUGCUCAGUAUGUACAUUUGAGAGGUGUGAGAGAAUUUGUCUUUGGAAGAUUAUUUUCUUUAAUAGUGUUUAAGAGUACAGGGUGUAUUUGAAUACUUAAGAAAUUAGAUUUUUUUACUUAAAUUUAUACUCUAUUAAUUGAUAAUAAAAUUAUUAUUUUCUCUUACCUCUAUAGACAUAUGCAUUCUUACUGAACCACGUUAAAUUUGUCUGUCUUUAUCUUUGUGAACUAUUUGGUGCAUACAAAUUCCGUAAUUGCGAGCAGGUGGCCACAGAUAAAAACAAAUGGCCCUUUUGCGCACAAUAUAAAACAAUUUCACUCUCGGAAGCCACGUGGCUAAUAGAUUGUUGCCUAUGUAAUUUAUUUUCAAGGGUUGGAAUUCAGAUACCAAAUUUGUAAUGAAGUGGUAUCUGACAUGUCAUCUAUAUAUUAGUAGUGUUAAAUUAACUCACUAAUAAAGGUAUAAAAAUUCAAUUGUUUACAAAUACAUGACAAUUAUUAAUUGAUGAUACAUUAUUUGUAAUACAAGUUUUAUAUCUUAAAUAUAUAAACAUAUCAACACAUUACCCCUACAUCAAUGAUUUUUUUUCGUUUUUUAUCCUUUGUGAGCCAUACUUUUCAAGUUAAAAAAUGCAGCAAAUCCCUGUAGUUCGUUGUCUUACAUGACAAAAAUGGCAUGUGAGUACCACCCUUCUAGAAGACGGGCCCGCCCAUUUUGAAGAAGAAAGCAUUACUUCCGUCUUUGACUAGAACAAAAGAAAAAAUGGAGAAAGAAGGAAAAAUGGGUGUCAGGCCGAAAAAGAAGAAGAAAACAAAUAAUAAUUAAAUGAACAAUAACCAGUUUUGGCUAUAAAAGGAGGCUCCUCCUUGUUUCUGCAUUCAGUUUUUUUGAGAAGCAAUUCCUGCAUUUAAGAGAGCAUAGAAUUUUGUAGAGCUUAAAUAAUAAAGCUCUUGUUUUAGUGUUUUGAGAGUUUGAGUGUAUUAAGGUUUUGGAAAGUAAGUUAAAAUAUUACAAUACUUGUAACUCUUUUUCACUAAUAAAAUAUUUUUCUUCUGUCUUCGCCCGUGGACGUAGGCUAAAAGCCGAACAACGUAAUUUUCUGGUGUCCUCUUUGUGUUUGUUCUUUAUUUUUCUUCAAAUUUCAUUUUAGCUAUGUGUCUGCUUCACCCAUUAAUUUCCUAACAGUGGUAUCAGAGCUAUUGGCUGUAUUCUUUGGAGUCGGGCACUGUUCACUAUACGACAUUGUUCAUAUAUACGGUAUUGUUCACGAGAAACGGUGGGAGCAAUCCAAGAAUUUUGUGGUGUAAAGCAAGGAAUAGUGGUGUGAGUAAAGCAACUGUGUGGUUUUGUACAUGUCUAGAAAAGUUAUGUCACAAAGGCGAUAAGAGUCUAAGGAGUCUGGGUUUUAAGUGGGACCAUUGUGACCCCUCCAGUCUUUCCUGAGAACUUUCCUGGUGUGCAUUCUCACACAUACUCACAAUUAUUUAAGGUGGUACACUAACUUGUGCGCGGUAUUUAUCAACAAAAUGUUGGUAAAGUAUGAAAUUGAGAAGUUUAACAGAAAUAAUUUUUCAUUGUGGAAAAUGAAGAUGAAAGCUGUAUUGAGGAAAAAUAAUUGCUUGGCAGUAAUUGGAGAAAGGCUCAUGGAGAUAACUGAUAACAAGUGGAACGAGAUAGAUGGCAACGCCAUUUCUGAUCUACACUUGGUACUUGUGGAUGGAGUAUUAUCCAGUGUGCCAGAGAAAAAUUCAGCGAAGGAAAUAUGAGAUACUCUCACAAAAUUGUACGAGGCCAAGUCACUACACAACAAAAUCUUCUUAAAGAGGAAACUUUAUACUCUUCGAAUGACGGAAUCUACAACGAUGACCGACCACAUCAACACCUUGAAGACUUUAUUUUCACAACUCACAUCGUUGGGUCAUAAUAUAGAGGAAAAUGAACGUGCAGAACUUCUACUUCAAAGUUUACCAGAUUCGUAUGAUCAACUCAUCAUCAACCUGACGAACAACAAUCUAGCAGACAGUCUGGUUUUCGACGAUGUUGCAGCCUUCGUAUUAAAUGAGGAGAGCAUGCGAAAAAAUAAGAAAAACAAACAAGCAAGUUCGCAGCAAGCAGAAGCGCUAUCGGUGACGAGAGGGAGAUCAAUGGAACAUGGCCCCAGUGGGAGUCAUAAUCAUGAUAGAUCAAAAUCCAGAAGUAAGAAGAAUGUUAAAUGCUACAAUUGUGGCAAGAAAUGACACGUUAAGAAAGAGUGUUGGAGUAACCAGAAGAGAAGCGAAGGCAAAGAACCUGAGUUAUCAAAUACUCAGGGGUGUGUAGCAAGUACCUCGGAUGAUGGCGAAAUUAUCUAUAACGAGGCAACAACUGUUUCAGAAGGCAGAAAACGGCUAUUUAACGUCUGGCUCAUAGACUCAGGAGCUACCUAGCACAUAACCUCUCGGAGAGAAUGGUUUCAAAGUUCAGUAGAUCUAUUACUAGAAGUAAAUGCAUUUUAGACUUGAUUCAUUCUGAUGUUUGGGAAUCGCCGGAUAUGUGUUGGUUAAUUUUAUAAUCAAAUGCUAUUAAUGCCAAUGUGCAAGUAUACACAACAAGUAAUAAAGUGAUGAAUAUUCAAGAUCGCCUCCACAGGGAUUGAUGUUACUUGAAAUGCUAUAAUAGUCACAAUAGUACAAACUAACUUAAGUCCAAAGUUAACAAACGUAAAGUGGGUUCUAUCGUAAUUGAUGAUUGUAAGAGAAUAAAGUAAAACAAUACCGUAAUGAAAUAAACUAAAUUAAAUGUGUCUAAGUAAGCAAGAUAUAUUAAAGUUCAGUAGAUCUAUUACUAGAAGUAAAUGCAUUUUAGACUUGAUUCAUUCUGAUGUUUGGGAAUCGCCGGAUAUGUGUUGGUUAAUUUUAUAAUCAAAUGCUAUUAAUGCCAAUGUGCAAGUAUACACAACAAGUAAUAAAGUGAUGAAUAUUCAAGAUCGCCUCCACAGGGAUUGAUGUUACUUGAAAUGCUAUAAUAGUCACAAUAGUACAAACUAACUUAAGUCCAAAGUUAACAAACGUAAAGUGGGUUCUAUCGUAAUUGAUGAUUGUAAGAGAAUAAAGUAAAACAAUACCGUAAUGAAAUAAACUAAAUUAAAUGUGUCUAAGUAAGCAAGAUAUAUUAAAGUUCAGUAGAUCUAUUACUAGAAGUAAAUGCAUUUUAGACUUGAUUCAUUCUGAUGUUUGGGAAUCGCCGGAUAUGUGUUGGUUAAUUUUAUAAUCAAAUGCUACUAAUGCCAAUGUGCAAGUAUACACAACAAGUAAUAAAAUGAUGAAUAUUCAAGAUCGUCUCCACAUGGAUUGAUGUUACUUGAAAUGCUAUAGUAGUCACAAUAGUACAAAUUAACUUAAGUUCAAAGUUAACAAACGUAAAGUGGGUUCUAUCGUAAUUGAUGAUUGUAAGAGAAUAAAGUAAAACAAUACUGUAAUGAAAUAAACUAAAUUAAAUGUGUUUAAGAUUCAAUUGAGAUUAUGGUAGUUGAAUGAUCAAACUCUCCUUAUGGGCUGACUGUUUUUCAUCAAGUUAACACCAGUUGUUACGGCAAAUGCUGCAGCACUGGGUAGAAUUAAUCUGUUUCCUCAGCUGUCGCGUAUUGGAACUCUCAUACCCUUAAAUAUAUUAGCAAUGACCAGUUGCUAAUCUACUUAUGAUAUGGCCUUAUGACCCUUUAGUCUUUCCACCCUACAAGGUGAGCACCUAUGUCUAGUGUGUCACAAAUCUUAACUUUAAGUAUAACCCUUAUGGGAUUCAAGAUAACUUAAUCCAGGAAAUUUAAAUUAAGAUCAAGUAAUACUCUAAUAAUAUCCACGAAGACAUGCCCUUUUGCGACUCUAUCUUAACUUGAACUAUUAAAUGGGUGGUCAACCGAAAUAACAGUUAUAUUAAUAAUAAUUACUAGAGUAAAAUGCUACAGUAAUGACAUAACAACACAUAAGAACAGUCAAUAACCCAUUAAAUUAUUUGUCACUCAACUACAAGCAAAUCUAGUUCAUAUUCUGAAUGAGAAAAACAAAUAGCAAAAUAUUGGUCAUAAAAUACAUCGGUUCAAUCAAAGAGUAAAGAAAAAAACAAGUAAAGAACGAUGAAGAUUGAAUCCAAAUAACUCUGUUGGAUUCUUCACUGAUGCAGACUUGGUUCUCUUGAAUUUUGAGUGUUUGCUUCUUUUCCUCUCGAUUUCUCUAAUGUUAAUUCCUUGCCGCCAUUUUAUGUGGUGCGCACCCUCCUUUUAUACUGCAAACUAGGGUAAAUAAAAGUAGGUGGACGUGCAUGAGUUAAAUUAGGAAACAUGCAGAUCGCAAAUCUACAGUUAACCCAAGCUUAAGUUUUCUCCCUCCGUGCUCCUAGAUUGCUACAGCACUGGUUGCUCUAACAACAGUUACAAUACUGCACUUUUCCCGAUUGUGCUUUACUUCUUUUGCGGCCAUUUUCUUUCCUUCUCUUGCUAGUCUAAUGUCUCAGCAUCCCUUCAUGAAUUAAGAAUUUCUGAAAACUUAUAAUUAUGCACAUGUUUUGAGCACAAAUUACUUUGAUUCAAGCAAAACUUAUUAAGACUCAACUAAAAUGAAUAUUUAUGCAAAAUAUAACCAAAAUGUAAUAAAAAUACCUUAUUUACACUAUAAGUGAUCUUGAUUCAAGUUUAGAAUUGAUGUAAUAACUCUCAUUUCAUAGAGUUAUGAAUAUGUCCAUGGGAGGUGCAAAGUAUAUGGUGACUUUCAUUGAUGGUUAUUCCAUGAGAUGUUGGGUGUAUCCAAUUAAGAAAAAAUCAUAUGUAUUUUCAGUGUUUAAAGAAUACAAAGCGCGGGUGGAACUUGAUUCCAGCAAAAUGAUCAAGUGCUUGAGGACGGAUAAUGGUAGAGAGUAUACAAACGGUGAGUUUCUUGCUUUCUGUAAGCAAGAAGGUAUUCAGAGGCAGUUCACGGUGGCAUACACUCCUCAACAAAAUAGAGUGGCAGAGCAUAUGAAUAGGACUCUUACAGAAAUGAUAAGAGCUAUGUUGAGGACUAAUGGUCUACCCAAUUCAUUUUGGGAAGAAGCAUCCAAAAUUGCAUGUUACAAUUGAGCUGAAGACAGCGAUGGAGAUGUGGACUGGAAAGCCAGCUGAUUACUCCUACCUACAUGCAUUUGGAUGUCCUGUGUACGUGAUGUACAAUGCCCAAGAAAGAACAAAGCUGGAUCCAAAAUCUAGAAGAUGUAUCUCCUUAGGAUAUGCUGAUGAAGUAAAGGGGUAUCGUCUGUGGGACCCCACUGCCCACAAGAUUAUCAUUAGCAAAGAUGUUAUCUUUGUAAAAGACCAACUGCAAAGGAGAGAUGAGGAUGAUAGCACUGUAAAAGAAAAGUCAGAGACUGUGCCGGUAUAUAUGAAAAAUAAUCCAGAAGAUUUAGAUUCUUCUGAAGUAGCACCAGAGCACGAGUAACAAGUACCAGUCGAGUCCGAGGCUCUAGAAGUUUUUCGGUCAACUCUUGAGAGACGACCACCAGCGUGGUACUCAGAGUAUGUCACAGAGAUCAAUGUUGCAUACUGUCUUCUAACAGAUGAUGGAGAGUCAUCAACUUUCCAUGAAGCUUUAAAUAGCUCAGAUGUUGCUUUGUGGAUGACAGUAAUGUAGGAAGAAAUUGAAGCUCUACACAAGAAUAAGAUAUGGGAACUUGUACUACUACCACAUGGAAGAAAAGCUAUUGGAAACAAAUGGGUCUACAAGAUCAAACGUAAUGGUAAUGACCAAGUGGAGCGGUAUCGUGCAAGAUUGGUGGUGAAAGGAUAUGCUAAAAAAGAAGGUAUUGACUUCAACGAAAUAUUUUCUCUGGUAGUUUGCCUUACAACAGUCAGAGUAGUUUUGACAAUGUGUGCUACAUUUGACCUACAUUUAGAGUAGAUAGAUGUGAAAACUGCAUUUCUUCAUGGAGAACUUGAAGAGGAAAUUUAUAUGCUCCAACUAGAAGGUUUUGCAGAAACAGGAAAGGAGAACUUGGUUUGCAGGUUGAACAAAUCUAUAUACGGUCUCAAACAGGUGCCGAGGUGUUGGUAUAUGAGAUUUGAUUCCUUUAUCAUGAGCUUUGGAUACAACAGACUCAGUUCAGACCAUUGUGUAUAUUACAAGAGAUUUAAAGAUAAUGAUUUCAUCAUUUUGUUGUUGUACAGGGAUGACAUGUUGGUUGCAGGCCCAAACAAAGAUCGAAUCCUAGAAUUGAAGGCACAGUUGGCUAAAGAGUUUGAAAUGAAGGACUUGGGACCAGCAAAUAAGAUUCUAGGGAUGUAAAUUCACUGAGACAAAAAUAACAAGAAGAUUUGGCUUUCACAGAAGAAUAAUUUGAAGAAAAUCUUGCGGCGCUUCAACAUGCACGAUUGUAAGCCAAUUUCUACCCCACUUCAUGUUAAUUUCAAAUUAUCCUCAAGUAUGUGUCCUAACAAUGAAGUAGGAAGAAGAUGUCUCGAGUACCGUAUGCAUCAACAGUGGGAAUUUGAUGUUCGCUAUGAUAUGUACUAGACCAGACAUUGCACAAGCAGUGGGAGCAGUUAGUCGAUACAUGGCGAAUCCUGGUGGAGAGCAUUGGAUAACUGUGAAGAGGAUUCUGAGGUACAUUAAAGGAACCUCUGAUGUUGCAUUAUGUUGUGGAGGAUCAGAGUUUACUAUCAGGGGCUAUGUGGAUUCAGAUUUUGCAGGAGACCUUGAUAAAAGGAAAUCCACUACUAGAUAUGUGUUUACACUUGCGGGAGCAGCUGUAAGCUGAGUUUCAAAACUGCAGACCGUUGUGGCUCUAUCUACAAUAGAAGCAGAGUACAUGGUAGUUACACAAACUUACAAGGAAGCUAUUUAGAUACAAAGGUUAUUGGAAGAGCUCGGGCACAAACAACAGAAAAUUCAUGUGUUUUGUGACAGUCAGAGUGCCUUGCAUAUUGCAAAGAAUCUAGCAUUUCAUUUCAGGACAAAGCCCAUAGGGGUACAGUAUCACUUCGUUCGAGAAGUAGUGGAAGAUGGAAGUGUCGAUUUGCAGAAAAUCCAUACGAAUGAGAACUUAGUAGAUGUUUUGACCAAGCCGAUAAAUACUGAUAAGUUUGUAUGGAGUAGAUCCUCUUGUGACCUAGCAGAAACGUAGGCAACAUGACUAUGGCGAAGUAGAAAGGAUGGUGUGGAGAUUGAUUAGUUCUUAAUCAAAUCUCCAAGUGGUAGAAUGACAAAAAUGGCAUGUGGGCACUACCCUUUUAGAAGGCGGGCCCGCCCAUUUUGAAGAAGAAAGCAUUACUUCCAUCUUUGACUAGAAUAAAAGAAAAAAUGGAGAAAGAAAGAAAAAUGGGUGCCAGGCCGAAAAAGAAGAAGAAAACAAAUAAUAAUUAAAUAAUUAAAUGAACAGUAGCCAAUUUUGGCUAUAAAAGGAGGCUCCUCCUCCUCGUUUCUGCAUUCAGUUUUUUUGAGAAGCAAUUCUUGCAUUUAAGAGAGCAGAGAAUUUUGUAGAGCUUAAAUAAUAAAGUUUUAGUUUUAGUUUUUUGAGAGUUUGGGUGUAUUGCGGUUUUGGGAAGUGAGCUAAAAUAUUACAAUACUUGUAACUCAUUUUCACUAGUAAAAUAUUUUUCUUCUAUCUUUGCCCGUGGACAUAGGCUAAAAGCCGAACCACGUAAUUUCCUGGUGUCCUCUUUGUGCUUGUUCUUUAUUUUUCUUUUAAUUUCAUUUUGGCUGCGUGUCUGCUUCACCCAUCAAUUUCCUAACAUUACAUUGGUUUUACAUUUGGCCUCAAGGCAAACCCAGGUGAUUUGAAUUUCGUAAUAAUUUAUUUCGUUGUGAUAAUAUAUUUCCUCUAUUUGUUUCCAGGAAACUCCUAUCUUUGCAAGUUGCAACCGCUGAAUUUUUUUAAAAAUAAUUGGGUUGGUGGUAUUAUUAUGCCCAAUGGGAAGAAUAAUGACAACUAUUCACUGUUGGAGUCAGUAUUGGACUAAUUAGGGCAUGGGCGCCAGCUGGUUUUGAAAAAAUUUGAAGCGUAAUAUUGAAUAAGUCUAGUUUAAAGAGUUUGAAAUUUAAUCCUCAUUAAAGAAAAAUUAAAAAGUUUAUUAUUCAUUAGUUAUUAUAAUCGUACAAACAUGAAUUAGCCACACAUAAAUGUACACAAAAGAAAUUUAACAAAACUAAAUAAUAAUUAAAAAUCAUGGAACAAUAAAAAUAUAAAAGUUUCUCUUUUUUUCCCCCCUUCCUUUUCUUCUUCUUCUGCUUAUACAAACCUUGUAGGGACAAUGGUAAUCAAUAAAAAUCUAUAAAUUUAUCACUAAAAAAUAAUAUAAUAUAGGUAUGUGUCAUAUAUUGUUAUUUGAAUAUUUUAAAAUUGUAUUUUUUUAAAAAAGUAAAAUAAAAGUUUUGGAUAGGAAUGAGAAACCUCACUCUAUUAUUAUUUGAACUAUGCAAAAUACCUUCAUAAUCAGUUAAGCUAUAUUCAUAAUGUGUAUUAUAAGUUGAAUAUAUCCCAGUUAAAACAAUUUUUUUGGCUAUGUCACUAAUGACAAUAACAAUGUUUUUAGUAUUUUUUGUUAAAUUAGAAUUUGAUCAUAAAUUUUCCAUUGAUUUAUUUUCCAAAUUUCUUAUGAUACAACUUAUGCAACCCCCAAAAAAAAAAAAAGUUUAUGAUGUGGCGUGGUAUUUGUUGUGUCAUCUAUUAAUUGGUGUUGUGAAAUUAUCUCACCAAUAAUUGGUGUUAGAAUAAGAGUUAUUGAUUGAUAACGCAUUAUUUAUGUAUAAACUUUAUAUCUCAAUUUUGUAAAAAUAGCACUACACUAUCCCUCUAACAAUUUUUCUUUUUUGGUCUUUUAUUGCUAUAAUUCGUUGUCUUCUAGGAAAAAAGAAAAAAAUUAAUUGCCAAGAAAUUUAAUCUAGCAUUAUUAUUUUGAAGAAUAAAAAAGGUCAUACCCUUUGUUGUAAUCAAAAUAUUCUAACAUAUUGAGUUGCUUAUACUAUUUAAAAUGAAGAAAAAAAUUAAAGUUUAAAGGAAUUGAAUUAUACGUUGAAUGAGAGUGCAAUCCCUAAUAAUAAUUUAAAUCAUGAGUGUUUCAUUAUAAAUAAUUUUAUUAAAAUAAGAAUGUUGGAGCUCGGAAUAAUUUUUAGUGUUUAAAUAUCUCUCUCUUAUGAAUUUAUGUUCCUUGGGGGAUAAAAUUGCAGCCACCAAAAUUUUUUAAAUAAAUGUGUUGGUGUAUAACGGCCGGCUUGUUGUAUUAUUAGCCCAGCCCGCUUUUGUACAUUGGACUCAAGGAAUCAAGCUCUAAGAACCUAGGCCUCAAGCCCAGUUAUGAUUCAUUUCAAAUCAUUAUCCAAUUCAUUGAUCUCAUUUUAUUUUUAUGUACAUUGGUGAUUGGUCAUUUGGUCCGUCAUUCAGUUUUUUUGAGAAGAAAAUAGACUUUCCAUUAAGCAAAAGUUUCAAAAAUACAAGCAAUAUCAUUCGGAAAAGAGUCUAUCCAAACAUUAGACGUUUCAGUCUUGAGGGCAUACUUAGCUAAUCUAUGAGCUAGUUCAUUAGUGAAUCUAGGGAUGUGUUGAAAGGUAACCUUGUGAAAGUCACCUCUCAUAUCUUGAACUGCUGAUAUCACCCAGUAAAUUUCUGUUUUACUCCAUUUCUUAUAGUUGACCAAAUCAGGAACUUCCUGGCAGUCUGUCUCAAUGAUAAUUGAUGUCAAUUAAACUUCUUUGGCCACUUGAAGUCCCAGUUCUACAGCUUCUGCUUCUGCAAACUGCACAUCCCAGCUUAGUCGCGAUGGUUUAACUGCAGCUGCCACCACUCUUCCUUUAUCAUCCCUAAUAACAGCCCUCAAGCCUAUUGUUUUAGCUUCAACAUUGGUAGCAGCAUCCACGUUAAUUUUGAAACUUCCAGCAGGGGGUGGAGUCCACUGAUGAUGCUUCUUGUCUUCUCGGUUUGCAGCUUGAGAACUUCUACCAUGCUUCACUCUUUGAUAGGCUUCGACUAUAGCUUGGGCCUUUGCAGCUGAGGCAUUUGAGUUAAUUUUCUCCCCUUUGAAAAGCAGUCGAUUUCUAGCAUUCCAAGUAAUCCACCAGGUAGCACCCAAUAAUUCCAAGUCUGCUUUGCACAGCCUCUUAGACAUCUGAAACCACACUUCCAGCAUAUCCUGCCCUUUAUAAACUUCAAUGCCUUUAUCAGCUAGGCUUGACUUUUUUCAAAUCUUACCCGCUGCUUUGCACUCGAUCAGGGCAUGAGAAAUAGUUUCCACACUUCUUCUGCAAUUUGGCAUAAAGGGGAUGCAAUCACUUUCUUCUUCUAUAAAUUCUCCACGGUUGGUAGCAUAUCUUGAGCAGCUCUCCAUAAAAAGAUUUUUAUUUUUUCAGGCAACUCCAAUCUCCAUAUGGCUUUCUAGUAACAAGAACAAUCCUCCGAGGUGCUGGGGAUAUUAAGAUAUUUCAGUCUUAGAGUAAUUUGAUAGUCGCUCUUGACUGUGUACAUGAAUUUUUUGUCAAAAUGCCAGCAAACUUCAUCCAUCUUUGGGCUUCUAGGGAGAGGGAUCCUCAUUAUGGCUGCUGCAUCUUCCUUGUUAAAGUGCUCCAAAAUUAGAUCUGUUUUCCACUGGUUCCUUGCAUCAAUUAGCUCUGCCACUUUAACAUCCUCCGGCAAAGAUGGCAUUGAGAAGGGUUUAAAGGUAUUUGACCUUGGGAUCCAAUUACUCUUAUAAACUUGCACCAUAUCGCCUCUACCUAUUCUCCAUCUAGCCCCAUUUUUUAAAACUUGUCUACCCCACAACAAGCUCCUCCAGAGGAAAGAUGGGUUUGAUCCCAGGUUAGCAUUCCAGAAAUCUGAGCAUUUUAAGUAUCUGGCUUUUAGAACUUGGGCAGUCAAAGAAUUCGGAUCCUGAAGUAUUCUCCAUCCCUGUUUUGCCACCAUCGCUUGGUUGAAACUACAAAAAUCUCUAAAGCCCAUACCACCUCUACACUUUGCAUGGCUUAGUUGUUUUGCCACCAUCGCUUGGUUCUCCAUCCCUGUUUUGCCACCAUCGCUUGGUUGAAACUACAAAAAUCUCUAAAGCCCAUACCACCUCUACACUUUGCAUGGCUUAGUUUCUCCCAUUUUGCCCAAUGAAUUUUGUGUUUGUCUUCCUUGGAGCCCCACCAGAAUUUUGCUACCGCUAUUUGAAUAUCUUCGCAUAGCCCGAUAGGGAGCUUAAAAACACUCAUGGCGUAGGCUGGAAUCGCUUGAGCUACUGCCUUGAUUAACACCUCUUUCCCUCCAGUUGAAAAGAAUUUGUGCUGCCAAUUAGCUAUCUUACUCAAUACCCUGAGCUUUACAUCAUUAAAAAAGCUCAUCUUUUUCUGACCAAUUAUCGAAGGCAGCCCCAAAUACCUCUUGUGUCUUGAUACUACAUUGAGCUGGAAGAUGUUUUUAAUGGUUUCAGCUUGCUGCUCACUCACCUUGCCGCCAAAUAACAACGAUGACUUCUCAUAGUUGAAUAGUUGCCCUCAGGCUGAUACAUAAGAGUCAAACAAAGCUUUCAACUGAUUACACUCAUUUGUUGAGGCUCUUGCGAAAAUUAAACUAUCAUCAGCAAAUAAUAGGUGAGUGAUGGAGAUCUCCUGCCCAAACCGUAGCCCAUGGAUUAAGUUUUGUCUUUCUGCCUGCUUCAACAGAUUUGAAAAAGCUUCUGCACAUAUGAGGAAUAGAUAUGGAGAUAAGGGGCACCUUUGCCUAAGACCUCUUUGAGCACGGAACAGCCCUUUGGGUUUGCCAUUUAUGAUUACAGAAAAAUUUAUUGUUGUAAUACAAUUCAAGAAUGGCUUUAUCCAUUUAUGUGAAAAGCCUAGCCGCCCCAUAGUUUGUUCAAGGAACUUCCAUUCCACUCUAUCAUAGGCCUUGCUAAUAUCUAGUUUUAAAGCUACCACCCCUUUUUUUGUACUUUUAUUAUGCCUAAUUUUGUGAAGACAUUCAUACCCAAUAAUAAUAUUAUCUGUGAUAAGUCUAUUAGGAAUAAAAGCACUUUGUGUAGGCGAGAUAACUUGAUGCAAGAUCUGUUUUAGUCUAUUAGCCAUAGUCUUCGCCACUAUUUUGAAAAUCACAUUACACAGACUUAUAGGCCUAAAAUCGGUCACCUUUUUGGGCUUGGCAACCUUUGGUAUAAGAGCAAUAUAAGUGUGGUUAAGUGGAGUAACAUCACCUUGUGCAUUGAGGAUGUGUAAGCAUGUGUCGAUGACUCCGCUGCCAACAGUUUGCCAAUACUUUUAGAAGAACGUUGCUGGUAGCCUGUCAGGUCCAGGAGCCUUAGUUGGACACAUUUGGAAUAGAGCGUUGAAGAUCUCGUCAGCUGUGGAUGGUUGAUCUAAUGCUUCAUUCAUCUCUAUCGUCAUCUUUGGGUUCAGGCCUUCUAAGGCAGCAUUGAUUUGGUUUUAGUUUGGACUUGAGGUUGUAAACAAAUCUUGGAAAUAUUCACCAAACUCUCUCUCAAUCUCUUCUCCAUCUUCUAGCCACUGCCCUUGCUGAUUUUCAAUGCUAGAAAUCUUGUUCUUUCUCCUUCGUGAUGAAGCUUUAAAGUUAAAAAACUUCGUGUUUUUAUCCCCCUCCUUAAGCCAAUCAGCCCUUGAUCAUUGCUUCUAAUAAAUCUCCUCAUCAGUUAGUAAGUUGUUGAUCUGUCGUUCCAGGUUUUUAAUUUCAGCACCAUUGUCAUACUGUAAAUUAUUGCUUACAGCACACUGGAGUUUUUCCAUCAGAAUUUUCAGCCUUUUUUUUCGCUCCCCAAACUCUUCCUUACUCCACCAUUGCAAUUGGGCCAUCGUAGCCUUUGAUAAAUUUUUGAAAGUCUGCACUGGAUUUAUAUUAUCUCUACAACCAAAGCCAGACCACACCUCCUUCACUAUAUUUUUACAACCCUCAUACGGAGUCCACAAAUCCUCAUAAUGCACUCUAGAGAAAGUUCUUCGAUCAUAGCUCACUCUACUUUUUUUCUCUUGAACAUUCAUUACAAGCAAAUUAUGAUAUGAUUCCCACAUAACCAUAUUUGUCACAGUCUCUUCCUGAAAAAAGUUCCCCCAAUCCUUGCUACAUAAAGCUCUAUCCAGCCUCUCUUCAAUAUGGUGAGAUCCGAAUUGUCUGUUGGACCAUGUAUAGGGAUGCCCCUUAUACCCCACGUCAAUAAGGUUACAGUCAUAAACUGCUUCUCUGAAGUCGGAGAUCAUGCUUACAUUUCUAUCAUUUCCACCAGAUUUUUCAUUUGGAUGCAUAAUUUCAUUGAAAUCACCAAUGCAGAGCCAAGGCAGAGGAGACAAACCUUUCAAUCUUCGCAUCAAAGUCCAUGUAUGUCUUUUUUGCUGAGCUUCUGGAUGACCAUAGAUUCUGGUACAUCUCCACCUUUUACCACUGUCAUUUUGAAUGAUAGCAUCAAUAUGAUGGCUGCUGUAAGAGGUAAUAUUUACAGUUAUCUCUGAGUUCCACAUCAUUGCCAACCCCCCACUCAUCCCAGUUCUACUAACCGCAAAACAAUUAUCUAAGUUUAGUCUUUUACACUCUUCAUUUGCUUGCCUAGACAAUAGCUUUGUUUCACAAAAAAACAAUAGCUGAGGCCUAUGCAAUUGGAGAAUUUUCUUCAUUGCGAGACGCGUUCGAGGAUUCCCCAAACCCCGAACGUUCCACCUUACGAGUUUCAUGGCUGUCGGCAGGGCUGGCUCCCAGCCUCCGCCGCUGACUUCUCCAUUUGCUGAACUGUGUCACUUUCAUCAACCUUUUCUUUUGUUUCCCAGGCCAGCUUCAAUUUCGAUGCUAUGGGAGUUUCCUGGGAGCUCACAUUCUUCAGCCUCUUACUGUUUGGACUCGGUUAAUCUAAUUCACUGCACGACCUUUUCACAUAAGUAGGUCCCAUAUUCCUCUUGGUAGUAAAGUUUGAGUCUCUAGCUUAUGUUUUCCACUUUCGGCUCUUUAAGUGAGAUUUUGGUUUCGUGGGCUCAAAAUUAAAUUUUGUACCUAUUGAAAUCCCCUGAGUUUGAUUUUCGUUUUUGUCAUGUUGGCCCAUCAGGCCUAUAUUUCGUUCCCCACUCCUCAGUGCAUCUACUUUCACUUUCCCGCAUAAGUUUCCUUCUGUUUUGCUCUCUGCUCUGUGGAUUUCCCCAGUUGUAGCUGCUGCCCCAGCAGGCUUUUCAUAUUCUAGGUACGACUGUCUCGAUUCCUCAGCCGCUUUCAUUAAUGAUUCCUCACCUACCUCUGCCACAUAAGUCACCUCCACUGACAUUUCCUCACUGGGGCUAUCCACUUGGGUUACACCCAAUCCAUCGUGCUUACUCGGGUUUGGAUUGCUUGGUUGCUCUUUCGGUUUUGGUUGUAUCUGGAUCUGAACACUUGUGUUUCUGGUGGUUGCAUCCGGUUGAUCAUCUCUCCUACUCUUUCUGUUUUUGCCUCUGCUGAGCUUAGCUAAUUCAAAAGAAGUAAGUGCUUUCAUCCAUCCACCAUAAAUGAGCUUCUCCUUUGGUUGGCCCUUGUACUGGAUGCAUUCCCUAAACUGAUGUCCGAUAAGUCCACAGCAGAAGCAAAAAUCCGGUAGCCUAUCAUACUUGAUAAGCAUCACAAUAUCUUCCUCGCCUUCCUGUUUUAGUAUAAGGAUUCUCUUUAAUGGUUUAGUAAUGUCCACUGAAAUUCUCACCCGAGCAAAAGGGCCUAUGCAUUCCCCUUCUUCGUCGGUCUCUACUUCCUCCACUUGUCCUAUCUUUUCCCCCAAUUUUUCAAUGGUUCCUUUCACCAUACACUUGAUGGGCAUUCCAUGGAUUUGCACCCAAAAAGAUGUAUGUGUAAAAGGCUGCCGUUUUAUGCUCCCCAUUCCCACUGGUUCUACAAGCACUAUUAAAGCUUUGUCAAAAUGCCAUGGCCCUUCUGUCAGCACUCUCUUUUUAUCCUGUUCUGUAGCAAACUUAAAGACGAAAAUGUUGUCUCCCAGACUCUCCACCUUAAUCUCCUUAGUGGUUUUCCAAGCUAACUGCAUUGCGUAUCUCAACCCCUCUUUGUUUACAUCUCUGUUGAGAAGAAUCUUACCCACAAGACAAUGGGCUGCUACCCUUUCUCCAUCAUUUUUCAUUCCACCGAUGAACAUGACUGCAUCAUCUUCUUCAUCCUUCAAAGUGAUAGUCUUACAUCUACGUAUGAGCUCCUCUGUAUCCAUUUUCUAAUCUCGUAUUUAAACCUUCCUCAAUAAAUGGCUCUCACCAACCACUACUUUCACAACAAUUUAAGUUCUUCAGAAAGAAGCCAACUACCGCCAACAUUAGUUAAGCUUCUGUAUUUGACUGCCUUUUACACUACUUUCAGAACUUAAGUGAUGAAGAAACACCCAACAUGUGAGUGACGUAAAUCGGGUUAUGGCAACCCCCAUGUCCUUCCAUACCGAGUUCUUUUUCCAGAGAGGAAAAGAACUCUCAUAGGAGAUAACUAGGAUUCCUUUGCCGACAACUUGAAGAUUAAUUUGGUAAAUUAAAAAGUGAGUUUUUUGGUUUAAAAAUAAAUGUUCUGAUUAAUUUCAAUCGAAUACUAUAAACUACUAAAUAAAACAUUUUUAAGUUAUACGAAUGUAAUUUUUAUGGUAUAUAUCAAAUUCAAUAUUAUCAUCAAUAAUAAUUUUUUUUUAUUAAUAAUGAUGAAAUCACUGCGUGAAAAUAUUUCAUUCAAGGCCAAUCAUGUAUUUGAUAGGGGGUACCUAACAAUUAUAAUGAUUAUUGUUUUUUUUUAGAGUUCCUCUUUUAAACUUCUUCAGUCUCUUUAUGUUUAUCGGUGCAACCAUUUGAGGUGUAUAAUUAAUUAGGAUCAUUUAUUUUAAAUGCUCUCGUAUCUUGUUCUUUCCCAAUUUAGAAUUAUCUUGCUCAGUUAAACUCUAAUUUUGGGAACUUGCCUAAAUAUCAUUAUUAUUAACUGGUGAUGCAACUCUUCUAUUUGUAAUCUUCUAUCUUUUCUAAUAAAAUUUUCGAAUUGUACCCAAAAAAAAGUUCGAAAAUAAACAUCUAAUGAAGUGUAAUGGCUUUUUUUCAUCAAUUAUUAUCGGAUGGAAAUGUAAAGUUAAGGUUAAGUUUUUUUUUUCAAUAAAAGCUCCUAUUUUAGGAGGUCGAUUUGCCACCUACUCAUCAAAUUUUUAAUUUUUUUAUUAUUUCGUGUUACAUUGAAUUAGAUAUAAAUGACUCUCCGGUUUUUUUUUCCCCCAAAAUUCCUUAUCAAUAUAUGAAUUGUUUUUACAAAAUAAUAAUAAUACAGGAGAAUGAUUCUAAGGUCCUUAAUGUUUCUUAUUUUUAUUACUUCCAUUCGUAAUUUUUUCUUCAAUUAUCCGUUACAUCUCCAAUGUUAUAAUUUUAAAUUGAAUGAUAAAUGAUAGUGUUUUUAACAAACAGAACAUCAACACUGACAAUAACAAUAUAAUAGUAAAAGUUCACAAAAAUUGAGUUUCUUAUAUACCAAUAUUAACGUCAGGUAAUUAAAAAACAAAUUAAGGAAUUGAAGUAUAAAAGUGAGGAACAUUAAGGCUGCCUUCUCCCAUAUAAAUAAAGUUGUGACUAUACCCCAAAGUCCCAAGUCCACAUGAAGCAAAACAAUUUCAUUUUUCUAAAAACAAACAUCAUAUCAAUAAGUUCUCAUUUUUUUUAAAAAAAAAAUUCUUAUUUUUAAAAUAAUAGAUCGCAGAUUUGAACACUACUCACAUAAUGAAAAAAAGAAAAUCAAGUUACUAUUAAACUAAAUAAUAAUGAUAAAAUAUAUAUUUGAAGCAUGGUAUAUAUAUCUCUUAUGUACAUAUUAAGUGUAAAUAUUCAAGCUAUGCAUGAUAGGGUCUUGUUAAGUUACAUCACAUAUAACUUACAACAAAUUUAAAAAUAGUUAUUCAUGAUCUUUUACUUGUUUUACACGCUGUCAUUUCUGAAUCACGAGCCUUUUAGGUUGUUUUAAAUUAUAUUAUAUGUAACUUAGUGGCUAGGGUUGGCAAUUUGUGGGCUUGGGCCGGGUUUUUCCAAGCCCAGGCCGAAGCUCAUAUUAUUGAAACGAAGCCUAGGUCUUUAAAAAGCCCUUCAAAAUUUGGACUGGCCGAGCCUGGGCUUUUUAAUUAAUUAUAAAAUAUUUUUUUAAUUUAGAUUGAUCGGGUUAGAUUUCUUCAUUAAUUAUAAAAUAAUUUUUUUAUAAAGAAAAAUUUUUUUAGUUAAAAAUAAAUAUUCAAUACAUAAUAACAUAAUAGUCUAAUAUAUAAAAUAUUAGUAACACAACAUAAUAAAUCACAAAUAUUAAUAUAAAAAAUAUAUUAAUUUAGUAUUUUGAGUUUUUUUAUUUAAAUUUAAUUUAUUUUAUUUUUAAAUUAAAAAGCUCGAGCUCUUUACUAGAUCAUUAUCCAAGCCCCAUUUAUUUGGGCUUUACAUUCUUCAGGCCCAUAUUCAAACCCAACCCAUGCGAGCCGGGCUUCAAGGUCACGAGCCUGCCCGAGCAGCUUUUUUGCCAACCCUAUUAGCAUUUGCCUGCAUGAUAAAUUUUCACACAAUUCCAUAAUUAUAAGAUAUAAAUUACGGUAAACUCAUAAUUAUAACUUGUUAGUAGAUUACAACAUAAUUUUAGGGAAAAAUAACCAACGACUAAUCAAGAAUAAUGUGAAAUAUCAAUUAAAGAGUAUGAGAUUGAAAUAUUGAAUAAUGAAAACAGUGAUGUCAUUUCAUUGGAGAGAAAGUCAAUAAAUUACUGAUUAUAGAUAUUAUGAGAGAAUGCGGGCAAUCUCCUAUGUCAUUAGUCAAUAUUUCAUUAACAAAUAGCAAAACUCUUCGUGAAUCGAUCAUUAAUUGGACCGCAACAAUUAGAGGAAAAAUGAUUCUUUCAACUUACCAUAUUAUUUGCUUAUCCCUAGAUAAGAAGUGAUCAAAAGCAUUUGUGAAAGAAAUCAAGAGAGGAUAGCGAUCGUCAAUUAACAAUGAUGGCCCAACAAAUCACUGCUUGAUUAGAUGAUUCGAACGUGGACAUCAUCUUUACAUACUUGAUAUUAUAAUUACAAAUAUUACUCAUAUUUUAUGACCAUGAGUUGGGUGGGGAUAAUUUUACCUCACUAUUUGUGUAAAAUUACCGCACUUUUAUAUAUAUGCACGAUAUUUUUUUUUGGUAAUUAUUCACCGACCACUUUUUUUUUGCACUUUUUCAAAAAUACGCAUAUCUUUCUUUUUCUAACUGAUUUCCACCUGAAAUUACAAAAUAUAUUAUUUUUUCACUACUGUCUAAAUUCCGUGAGAGAAGUUACAAGAAUAUUAAUAAAAUGACUAUUUUACCCCCCUUAAUGCAAAAUUACUAUUUCAUCUUAAUUAAAUAAAAAAAUUAAAUUACUUCAAUUUUUCUUUGCUAUUUAGACAUUAGAUAAUAAGUUAAACAAAAUAAUCUGGAAUAUUUUUAUCUUUUUUUUCCUCUUUCUACCGCGUUUAAAUGAUGUUGAUUUUUGUUAUGCAGCUGAAAUGAUAAUUUUACACCUAUGUCAUCAACAAGGUUAUGGCAGAAUGCAAACAGAAGUGAAAAAGUGCAAGAAAAUGUAACUUCUAGUGGAAAUCAACCCAAAAAAAUAAGAGGUAUAUUUUUGAAAAUACUUGAAAUAAUAAGUGGUCGGUGAAUAAUUUUCCUUUUUUUAUAAAUAUAAAUUAACAAUACAAAUUUGACGAUUAAUAAAUAAAAUCUUUCUAAUAUCUUUUUUCUUACUCGGGUUUCUUUGACCAUCUUUAACCAUUCAAGUUAUUUUAACCUAAGUUUUAUAUGACUAUUUUACCUUUAUAAUAUAAAAUGAGUAAAUUUUCCCAAUAAAUAUAUAUAUGUUCUUUCUUAUAUCUAAUAGUUUAAGUAUUCAAUUUUAUUAAAUUAUAAUCUAACAUCUUUAAAUGAAAUCUAAUAAUUUUCAAUACCGUAUAUGUAAAUAACAUGAAUUUAACAGUAUGAUAAUUCACAUGGGUAUUGUAUCAUAUAGAUAUUAUGUUAAUUUAAUUAAAGAUUAAUUAUUAUAAUAACAAAAUAUUACUGACAAAAACGACAACGAGAUAAGAGACUUAAAUAAUAUUUAUUUAUUAUGAGGAGGAACGAUUUGGUGACCACAGUCAUGAGUCUUAUAGUACGCAACUGCAUGUUUAUUUGGGAGAUCUAGUACAUGACUCUCAACUGCAUCAGUGAAUAGCUCAAGUUCGUCCAAGGUCCCAUAGACAUCAUAAACAUCAUCGAUUAAUGUUAAAAGACAAUUAACCAUUGCAGACAUCCUUCUACAAUAUCCAAACUGAGGUUCGAAUAUAUCCCCCACGGUCCAGAAGAAAUUCUCCACUACUCUGUCUCUUGCAAAAUUCAACUUCUCCCCAAGUCCUGUU